rnacentral:rRNA from 1 species
UAGGGAAUCUUCCACAAUGGACGCAAGUCUGAUGGAGCAACGCCGCGUGAGUGAAGAAGGUUUUCGGAUCGUAAAGCUCUGUUGUUGGUGAAGAAGGAUAGAGGCAGUAACUGGUCUUUAUUUGACGGUAAUCAACCAGAAAGUCACGGCUAACUACGUGCCAGCAGCCGCGGUAAUACGUAGGUGGAAAGCGUUGUCCGGAUUUAUUGGGCGUAAAGCGAGCGCAGGCGGAAUGAUAAGUCUGAUGUGAAAGCCCACGGCUCAACCGUGGAACUGCAUCGGAAACUGUCAUUCUUGAGUGCAGAAGAGGAGAGUGGAAUUCCAUGUGUAGCGGUGGAAUGCGUAGAUAUAUGGAAGAACACCAGUGGCGAAGGCGGCUCUCUGGUCUGCAACUGACGCUGAGGCUCGAAAGCAUGGGUAGCGAACAGG